GUAAAAUGCGCAGAGAUCGGGAGGAACACCAGUGGCGGAGGCGGUUCCCUGGGGCACACCUGACGCUGAGAGACGAAAGCUAGGGGAGCGAACAGGAUUAGAGACCCUGGUAGUCCUAGCCCUAAACGAUGAAUGCUAGGUGUGGGAUCGAAUGGUUCCGUGCCGGAGCGAACGCGUUAAGCAUUCCGCCUGGGGAGUACGGCCGCAAGGUUAAAACUCAAACGAAUUGACGGGGCCCCGCACAAGCAGCGGAGCGUGUGGUUUAAUUCGAUGCUACACGAAGAACCUUACCUGGGUUUGACAUGUAGGUGGUAGUGAAUCGAAAGGUGAACGACCCUUCGGGGAGCCUACACAGGUGCUGCAUGGCUGUCGUCAGCUCGUGCCGUGAGGUGUCGGGUUAAGUCCCGUAACGAGCGCAACCCUUGCUCCUAGUUACAAGUGUCUAGGGGGACUGCCGGCGGAAAGCCGGAGGAAGGUGGGGAUGACGUCAAGUCAGCAUGGCCCUUAUAUCCAGGGCUACACACACGCUACAAUGGUCGGUACAAAGGGCAGCGAAACCGCGAGGCGGAGCGAAUCCGAGAAAAGCCGAUCGUAGUUCGGAUAGCAGGCUGCAACCCGCCUGCUUGAAGCUGGAGUUGCUAGUAACCGCGCGUCAGCCAUAGCGCGGUGAAUACGUUCCCGGGGCUUGUACACACCGCCCGUCACGUCAUGGGAGUCGGUAACGCCUGAAGCCGGUAGUCUAAC
rnacentral:rRNA from 1 species